rnacentral:lncRNA from 1 species
AUGGCGACCGAUGCGUCCCGCGCUCUAGGCGAAGACCGCGGCCCCGUCCCCGCGCCUCCACCGCCUUCUUCCAGGAGGAGGGGCCGUGCGGCGCCUGCCCGGGGGCCCUCAGGCCGCAGGCGGGCGCGAGCUUCAGGGAACUUAGGGGGCUCCCGCCUCCCCGGCCACGCGAGCGGGAACAGUCUCCUCCACUCGGAGCGCCACUCAUCAUGCCUUACCUGGAUGAUGCAGAAGUCCCUGGAAACAGAAGGUCUCACCCUUCUUUAUCUUUCUCAUGGCUUUCCAAGGCUCUUUAUCAUGUUACUUUCCUGCUCAGAAUUCUUUAAUGACUUGCCUCAAUGACCAGAUACAUGUGAUCUACAGUCAGCCUUCCAGCCUCAUCAUUCCUCUUCCAUUU